GACGAACGCUGGCGGCGUGCUUAACACAUGCAAGUCGAACGGAAAGGCCCUGCUUUUGUGGGUUGCUCGAGUGGCGAACGGGUGAGUAACACGUGAGUAACCUGCCCUUGACUUUGGGAUAACUUCAGGGAACUGGGGCUAACACCGGAUAGGAGCUCCUGCUGCAUGGUGGGGGUUGGAGAGUUUCGGCGGUUGGGGAUGGACUCGCGGGUUAUCAGCUUGUUGGUGAGGUAGUGGCUUACCAAGGGUUUGACGGGUAGCCGGCCUGAGAGGGUUACCGGCGACAUGGGGACUGAGAGACGGACCAGAAGGGUACGGGAGGCAGCAGGGGGGAAUAUUGCGCAAUGGGCGGAAGCGUGAUGCAGAAACGUCGCGUGCGGGAUGACGGCCUACGGGUUGUGAACAGAUGUCGCAUGUGACGAAGCGGGAGUGACGGUAAUGGGUAAAGAAGCACCGGCUAACUACGUG
rnacentral:rRNA from 1 species